CCGCCCGCUCCCUCACCCACCCCCCGCCCCUCCCGGCUCGCGGACACCCAGCCAAGGCCGCGCGACCCCGCCCCACUCCGCUCGCCGUAGACCACGCACCGCCCUUUUUCACCACCGCCGCCGCCCGUGCGCGUGCGCGGGGGCCGCCCUACUGGCUCCUCCUAGUCUUCUGCUUUCUUUUUCCUGCCCCGGGCCUCGCUCUCGCGCACGGGACCACAAUGCUCCGCGCCGCUUGUCAUUUGGAGGCGCCCAAAGAAUUCAGCCAGAGGAACAUGAACCACAGACGUUCAUCACCCUUCUCAGGACCAAGUUCAUUUUCAGCAGUCCAAGUGGGAUGACCAGAAAUGAACUAUAGAUCAGAUCAUCUCCACAGAAAGAACUCCUGUGAUUUGAGGGGUAAUUUUGUGAUACCCUAAUUGAUAUAUAUCCCGCUUGCAAA